rnacentral:rRNA from 1 species
UUUACCCGCUUGAAAUUAAGCAUAUCAAUAAGCGGAGGAAAAGAAACUAACAAGGAUUCCCCUAGUAACUGCGAGUGAAGCGGGAAAAGCUCAAAUUUAAAAUCUGGUGGUCUUUGGCCAUCCGAGUUGUAAUUUAGAGAAGCGUCUUCCGCGCUGGGCCGUGCACAAGUCUCCUGGAAUGGAGCGUCAUAGAGGGUGAGAAUCCCGUCUUUGGCAUGGACCCCAGGGCUUCUGUGAUGCGCUCUCGACGAGUCGAGUUGUUUGGGAAUGCAGCUCAAAAUGGGUGGUGAACUCCAUCUAAAGCUAAAUAUUGGCGAGAGACCGAUAGCGAACAAGUACCGUGAGGGAAAGAUGAAAAGCACUUUGGAAAGAGAGUGAAACAGUACGUGAAAUUGUUGAAAGGGAAACGCUUGAAGUCAGUCGCGUCGACCGAGACUCAGCCUUGCCUCGGCUUGGUGUACUUCUCGGUUUGACGGGUCAGCAUCAAUUUUGAUCCUUGGAUAAUGGCAAGGGAAAGGUAGCACCUUUUUAGGUGUGUUAUAGUCCUUUGUCGCAUGCGAGGGUCAGGAUUGAGGAACUCAGCAUGCACCUUCGGGUGUCGGGGCCUUGGCCCACGUUACGUGCUUAGGAUGCUGGCAUAAUGGCUUUAAACGACCCGUCUUGAAACACGGACCAAGGAGUCUAACAUACCCGCGAGUGUUCGGGUGGAAAACCCGUGCGCGUAAUGAAAGUGAAAGUUGGGACCUCUGUCGUGGAGGGCACCGACGCCCGGACCAGACCUUCUGUGACGGCUCUGCGGUAGAGCGUGUAUGUUGGGACCCGAAAGAUGGUGAACUAUGCCUGAAUAGGGUGAAGCCAGAGGAAACUCUGGUGGAGGCUCGUAGCGAUUCUGACGUGCAAAUCGAUCGUCAAAUUUGGGUAUAGGGGCGAAAGACUAAUCGAACCAUCUAGUAACUGGUUCCUGCCGAAUCCCCCUUCC